rnacentral:rRNA from 1 species
CAGCAGCCACGGUAAUACAGAGGAUGCAAGCGUUAUCCGGAAUGAUUGGGCGUAAAGCGUCUGUAGGUGGCUUUUCAAGUCCGCCGUCAAAUCCCAGGGCUCAACCCUGGACAGGCGGUGGAAACUACCAAGCUAGAGUACGGUAGGGGCAGAGGGAAUUUCCGGUGGAGCGGUGAAAUGCGUCGAGAUCGGAAAGAACACCAACAGCGAAAUCACUCUGCUAGGCCGACACUGACACUGAGAGACGAAAUCUAGGGGAGCAAAUGGGAUUAGAUACCCGCGUAGUCCCUGUCUCUUAUAC